UACGAGUGCUCCAAGCGUUAUCCGGAAUCAUUGGGCGUAAAGGGUGUGUAGGCGGUUGUGUUAGUCUUUUGUUAAAUUCUUCGGCUUAACCGGGGGCAUGCGAAAGAAACGGCACAACUAGAGGAUGCGAGAGGUGAAUGGAACUCAUGGAGUAGGGGUGAAAUCCGUUGAUAUCAUGGGGAACACCAAAAGCGAAGGCAAUUCACUGGCGCACUCCUGACGCUGAAACACGAAAGCGUAGGUAGCGAAAUGGG
rnacentral:rRNA from 1 species